GCGGAGGAAAAGAAACCAACAGGGAUUGCCCUAGUAACGGCGAGUGAAGCGGCAACAGCUCAAAUUUGAAAUCUGGCGUCUUCGGCGUCCGAGUUGUAAUUUGCAGAGGGCGCUUUGGCAUCGGCAGCGGUCCAAGUUCCUUGGAACAGGACGUCACAGAGGGUGAGAAUCCCGUACGUGGUCGCUAGCCUUUACCGUGUAAAGCCCCUUCGACGAGUCGAGUUGUUUGGGAAUGCAGCUCUAAAUGGGAGGUAAAUUUCUUCUAAAGCUAAAUACUGGCCAGAGACCGAUAGCGCACAAGUAGAGUGAUCGAAAGAUGAAAAGCACUUUGGAAAGAGAGUUAAAAAGCACGUGAAAUUGUUGAAAGGGAAGCGCUUGCAGCCAGACUUGCCUGUAGUUGCUCAUCCGGGUUUCUACCCGGUGCACUCUUCUAUAGGCAGGCCAGCAUCAGUUUGGGCGGUUGGAUAAAGGUCUCUGUCAUGUACCUCUCUUCGGGGAGAACUUAUAGGGGAGACGACAUGCAACCAGCCCGGACUGAGGUCCGCGCAUCUGCUAGGAUGCUGGCGUAAUGGCUGUAAGCGGCCCGUCUUGAAACACGGACCAAGGAGUCUAACAUCUAUGCGAGUGUUUGGGUGUCAAGCCCGAGCGCGUAAUGAAAGUGAACGGAGGUGGGAACCUUUCGGGGUGCACCAUCGACCGAUCCUGAUGUCUUCGGAUGGAUUUGAGUAAGAGCAUAGCUGUUGGGACCCGAAAGAUGGUGAACUAUGCUUGAAUAGGGUGAAGCCAGAGGAAACUCUGGUGGAGGCUCGCAGCGGUUCUGACGUGCAAAUCGAUCGUCAAAUUUGGGCAUAGGGGCGAAAGACUAAUCGAACUAUCUAGUAGCUGGUUCUG
rnacentral:sRNA from 1 species